GACGAACGCUGGCGGCGUGCUUAACACAUGCAAGUCGAACGGAAAGGCCCUGCUUGCAGGGUACUCGAGUGGCGAACGGGUGAGUAACACGUGGGUGAUCUGCCCUGCACUUCGGGAUAAGCCUGGGAAACUGGGUCUAAUACCGGAUAGGAGCCAUUUUUAGUGUGAUGGUUGGAAAGUUUUUUCGGUGUAGGAUGAGCUCGCGGCCUAUCAGCUUGUUGGUGGGGUAAUGGCCUACCAAGGCGGCGACGGGUAGCCGGCCUGAGAGGGUGGACGGCCAAAUUGGGACUGAGAUACGGCCCAGACUCCUACGGGAGGCAGCAGUGGGGAAUAUUGCACAAUGGGCGCAAGCCUGAUGCAGCGACGCCGCGUGGGGGAUGACGGCCUUCGGGUUGUAAAAUCCUUUCGCUAGGGACGAAGCUUUUUGUGACGGUACCUAGAUAAGAAGCACCGGCUAACUACGUG
rnacentral:rRNA from 1 species